rnacentral:rRNA from 1 species
AGGGAAUCUUCCGCAAUGGGCGAAAGCCUGACGGAGCAACGCCGCGUGAGUGAAGAAGGUUUUCGGAUUGUAAAGCUCUGUCUUCUGGGACGAUAAUGACGGUACCAGAGGAGGAAGCCACGGCUAACUACGUGCCAGCAGCCGCGGUGAUACGUAGGUGGCAAGCGUUGUCCGGAUUUACUGGGCGUAAAGGAUGUGUAGGCGGAUAUUUAAGUGAGAUGUGAAAUCCCCGGGCUUAACUUGGGGGCUGCAUUUCAAACUGGAUGUCUAGAGUGCAGGAGAGGAAAGCAGAAUUCCUAGUGUAGCGGUGAAAUGCGUAGAGAUUAGGAAGAAUACCAGUGGCGAAGGCGGCUUUCUGGACUGUAACUGACGCUGAGGCAUGAAAGCGUGGGGAGCAAAC